UACGUAGGGGGCAAGCGUUGUCCGGAUUUAUUGGGCGUAAAAGGCUUGUAGGUGGCCACGCCAAGUCGGAUGUGAAAUCUCCCGGCUCAACUGGGAGGGGUCAUUCGAUACUGGUGGGCUCGAGGCCGGUAGGGGGAAGUGGAAUUCCCGGUGUAGUGGUGGAAUGCGUAGAUAUCGGGAGGAACACCAGUGGCGAAGGCGGGUCUCUGGGCAAUUCCUGACGCUGAGGCGCGAAAGCGUGGGAAGCAAACGGG
rnacentral:rRNA from 1 species